GUCGUGGGGGAGUAACGUAGAGAAAUUUAACGCUAAUACCGCAUGAGAUCCACGGAUGAAAGCGGGGGACGUUCGCAAGGAGCCUCGCGCGACUGGAGCGGCUGAUAUCAGAUUAGGUUGUUGGUGAGGUAAAAGCUCACCAAGCCGACGAUCUGUAGCUGGUUUGAGAGAACGACCAGCCACGCUGGGACUGAGACACGGCCCAG
rnacentral:rRNA from 1 species